rnacentral:rRNA from 1 species
AGAUAAAUAAAUAUUAUUGGUUUAGCAGUUAAAUGUUUUUCUUUUAAUGCUAAAAUUUUUAGGUGAAAUUUUAAUUUUAUUUUAAUGAGUUUAUUUUGAAGCUGUGAAAUUUAUUUUAAAAACAAGGAUUAGAUACCCUUUUAUUUUAAAUGUUAAUAUUAAACCUGGGUAGUAAUAGUUAUGUUCUUGAAACCCAAAGAAUCUGGCGGUAUUUUAUACUUUUUAGAGGAACCUGUCCUGUAAUUGACAGUCCACGAUGGUGAAUUACUUACUUUUGUUAUUCAUUUUGUAUACCUCCGUCAUCAGAGCAUCUUUUUAGAGGUAAUGUUCUUCAUUUACAAAAUAUUAUAUGUCAGGUCAAGGUGCAAAUUAUAGGUAAGAAGAGAUGGGUUACAAUAAAUUUAUUUAUAUGGAUUAAAAUUAUUAUAUUUUUUUAUGAAGGUGGAUUUAAAAGUAAAAUUAUUUACUUGUUAAUUUGAUUUUAGCUCUAAAAUAUGCACACAUCGCCCGUCACUCUUAUUUUAAAAUAAGAUAAGUCGUAACAUAGUAGGGGUACCGGAAGGUGUUCCUAGUAGGAACA